rnacentral:rRNA from 1 species
UACGAGGGGUGCAAGCGUUGCUCGGAAUUAUUGGACGUAAAGGGUAGGUAGGUGGUCUCAUUUGUCUGAGGUGAAAGCCUUGAGCUUAACUCAAGAAGUGCCUUAGAAACGGUGAGACUGGAGUCCUGGAGAGGGUCGUGGAAUUCCCGGUGUAGCGGUGAAAUGCGUAGAGAUCGGGAGGAACACCAGCGGCGAAGGCGGCGACCUGGACAGGUACUGACACUCAACUACGAAAGCGUGGGUAGCAAACAGG